AGAGUUGAUCAUGGCUCAGGACGAACGCUGGCGGCGUGCCUAACACAUGCAAGUCGAGCGAGGAGAUCCUUCGGGAUGAUCCUAGCGGCGGACGGGUGAGUAACACGUGGGCAACCUGCCUCAUAGAGAGGAAUAGCCUUCCGAAAGGGAGAUUAAUACCUCAUAACAUUGCAGUUUCGCAUGGAACAGCAAUUAAAGGAGUAAUCCGCUAUGAGAUGGGGCCCGCGGCGCAUUAGCUAGUUGGUGAGGUAACGGCUCACCAAGGCGACGAUGCGUAGCCGACCUGAGAGGGUGAUCGGCCACAUUGGGACUGAGACACGGCCCAGACUCCUACGGGAGGCAGCAGUGGGGAAUAUUGCACAAUGGGGGAAACCCUGAUGCAAGCAACGCCGCGUGAGUGAUGACGGCCUUCGGGUUGUAAAGCUCUGUCUUCAGGGACGAUAAUGACGGUACCUGAGGAGGAAGCCACGGCUAACUACGUGCCAGCAGCCGC
rnacentral:rRNA from 1 species